rnacentral:rRNA from 1 species
UAGCGAAGGGGCAAGCGUUGUUCGGAAUUACUGGGCGUAAAAGGGCGCGCAGGCGGCCGGAUCAAGUCAGAAUGUGAAAGCCCCGGGCUCAACCUGGGAAUAGCAUUUGGGAACCUGGUCGGCUAGAGUUCGGGAGAGGAGAGUGGAAUUCCCAGUGUAGAGGUGAAAUUCGUAGAUAUUGGGAAGAAGCACCGGUGGCCGAAGGCGGCUCUCGUGGACCG